rnacentral:rRNA from 1 species
CGGGGUGCCCGAGGCUUCGAUUACUUUACCAUGCUUGAAACCGUGAUUAGGGGACACCGAGUGCCAGCAUCAUAUGCUGGCUGUCCAGGUGUGUAAAAUACACCUGUUACCAAGGGCCGGGCAAGACCGGUGCCAACCGCCGCGGUAACACCGGCGGCCCGAGUGGUGAUCGUGAUUAUUGGGUCUAAAGGGUCCGUAGCCGGUUUGGUCAGUCCUCCGGGAAAUCUGAUAGCUUAACUAUUAGGCUUUCGGAGGAUACUGCCAGACUUGGAACCGGGAGAGGUAAGAGGUACUACAGGGGUAGGAGUGAAAUCUUGUAAUCCCUGUGGGACCACCUGUGGCGAAGGCGUCUUACCAGAACGGGUUCGACGGUGAGGGACGAAAGCUGGGGGCACGAACCGGAUUAGAUACCCGGGUAGUCCCAGCCGUAAACGAUGCUCGCUAGGUGUCAGGCAUGGCGCGACCGUGUCUGGUGCCGCAGGGAAGCCGUGAAGCGAGCCACCUGGGAAGUACGGCCGCAAGGCUGAAACUUAAAGGAAUUGGCGGGGGAGCAC